UUAUUAGUCUUGCUAGCGGUCUAUCAAUUUUGUUGAUCUUUUCAAAAAACCAACUCCUGGAUUCAUUGAUUUUUUGGAGGGUUUUUUGUGUCUCUAUCUCCUUCAGUUCGGCUCUGAUCUUAGUUAUUUCUUGCCUUCUGCUAGCUUUGAAUGUGUUUGCUCUUGCUUCUCUAGUUCUUUUAAUUGUGAUGUUAGAGUGUCAAUUUUUUAUCUUUCCUGCUUUCUCUUGUGGGCAUUUAGUGCUAUAAAUUUCUCUCUACACACUGCUUUAAAUGUGUCCCAGAGAUUCUGGUAUGUUGUAUCUUUGUUCUCAUUGGUUUCAAAGAACAUCUUUAUUUCUGCCUUCAUUUUGUUAUGUACCCAGUAGUCAUUCAGGAGCAGGUUGUUCAGUUUCCAUGUAGUUGAGCGGUUUUGAUUGAGUUUCUUAGUCCUGUGUUCUAGUUUGAUUGCACUGUGGUCUGAGAGACAGUUUGUUAUAAUUUCUGUUCUUGUACAUUUGCUGAGGAGUGCUUUACUUCCAAUUCCGUGGUCGAUUUUGGAGUAAGUACGAUGUGGUGCUGAGAAGAAUGUAUAUUCUGUUGAUUUGGGGUGGAGAGUUCUAUAGAUGUCUAUUAGGUCUGCUUGCUGCAGAGAUGAGUUCAAUUCCUGGAUAUCCUUGUUAACUUUCUGUCUCGUUGAUCUGUCUAAUGUUGACAGUGGGGUGUUGAAGUCUCCCAUUAUUAUUGUAUGGGAGUCUAAGUCUCUUUGUAAGUCUCUAAGGACUUGCUUUAUGAAUCUGGGUGCUCCUGUAUUGGGUGCAUAUAUAUUUAGGAUAGUUAGCUCUUCUUGUUGAAUUGAUCCCUUUACCAUUAUGUAAUGGCCUUCUUUGUCUCUUUUGAUCUUUGAUGGUUUAAAGUCUGUUUUAUCAGAGACUAGGAUUGCAACCCCUGCUUUUUUUUGUUCUCCAUUUGCUUGGUAGAUCUUCCUCCAUCCCUUUAUUUUGAGCCUAUGUAUGUCUCUGUGUGUCACAUGGGUCUCCUGAAUACAGCAAACUGAUGGGUCUUGACUCUUCCUCCAAUUUGCCAGUCUGUGUCUUUUAAUUGGAGCAUUUAGUCCAUUUACAUUUAAGGUUAAUAUUGUUAUGUGUGAACUUGAUCCUGCCAUUAUGAUAUUAACUGGUUAUUUUGCUCAUUAAUUGAUGCAGUUCCUUCGUAGCCUCGAUGGUCUUUACACUUUGGCAUGUUUUUGCAAUGGCUGGUACCGGUUGUUCCUUUCCAUGUUUAGUGCUUCCUUCAGGGUCUCCUGUAAGGCAGGCCUAGUGGUGACAAAAUCUCUAAGCUUUGCUUAUCUGUAAAGGAUUUUAUUUCUCCUUCACUUAUGAAACUUAGUUUGGCUGGAUAUGAAAUUCUGGGUUUAAAAUUCUUUUCUUUAAGAAUGUUGAAUAUUGGCCCCCACUCUCGUCUGGCUUGUAGACUUUCUGCCAAGAGAUUUGCUGUUAGUCUGAUGGGCUUCCCUUUGUGGGUAACCUGACCUUUCUCUCUGGCUGCCCUUAAGAUUUUUUCCUUCAUUUCAACUUUGGUGAAUCUGGCAAUUAUGUGUCUUGGAGUUGCUCUUCUCAAGGAGUAUCUUUGUGGCAUUCUCUGUAUUUCCUGAAUUUGAAUGUUGGCCUGCCCUACUAGGUUGGGGAAGUUCUCCUGGAUGAUAUCCUGAAGAGUGUUUUCCAACUUGUUUCCAUUUUCCCCUUCACUUUCAGGCACCCCAAUGAGAUGUAGAUUUGGUCUUUUUACAUAAUCCCAUACUUCUUGCAGGCUUUGCUCAUUUCUUUUUCUUCUUUUUUCUUUAGAUUUCUCUUCUUACUUCAUUUCGUUCAUUUGAUCCUCAAUCGCUGAUACUCUUUCUUCCAGUUGAUCGAGUCGGUUACUGAAACUUGUGCAUUUGUCACGUAUUUCUCGUGUCAUGGUUUUCAUCUCUGUCAGUUCAUUUAUGGCCUUCUCUGUAUUAAUUAUUCUAGUUACCAAUUCUUCCACUCUUUUUUCAAGCUUUUUAGUUUCUUUGUGCUGGGUAAGUAAUUCCUCCUUUAGCUCUGAGAAGUUUGAUGGACUGGAGCCUUCUUCUCUCAUCUCGUCAAAGUCAUUCUCUGUCCAGCUUUGAUCCAUUGCUGGUGAUGAGCUGCGUUCCUUUGCAGGGGGAGAUGCGCUCUUAUUUUUUGAAUUUCCAGCUUUUCUGCCCUGCUUUUUCCCCAUCUUUGUG
ensembl:lncRNA